CAGCUACGAAGUCGGCGCCGGCUGCGCUCGGGGGACCAGCGGGAGGGAGGCUGCGGACGAGUGCGGGGAGGAGUCUGCGCUGGGAGGCGCUUGCAGGGGCUCCCCCAGUUCUGCGCCGAGAGCCGCGGCACAAAGAGCUCUCUGCGCCCACCAGAGCCAGCGCCUUCCAUUCAUUCCCGCACUUCCGGAGCUCCAGUCGCAGACGUGCGGUGUCGUCCCGGGCGGCUAGAAGGGGCCGGAGAGGGCUGGCCGUGGUGGUGACAGCGGUGCCGGCAGCGAUACUUGGGCUUGCUGCUCCGCCUGCGUUCUUCCGGCAAGCCCACGAGGGUGGGACUGCACUCUUUGGGCUUGUUUGCAAUGGCAGCACAGCCUGGUGGAAAGAGCAGGGUUGGCCAUGACACCUGUCCGUGUGCAAAUCUUCUCUGAGCUCAGUCUGCUCAUCUGAGAUUGCUGUGAGGCCAUGCACACUGUGGCCUCUCCCUGCCCAUGCACGUGGUUUCUGAGACACGCGUGUGGCCGCCAUGACCCAGUGGCAGCAAAGGGCCCGGGGCUGUUUGCAGAGUACGGCGAUCCGGGGACCCAGGAGACAGAAGAGAGCGCCCAGAUUGUUCCGGACCUGCACGAAAGAAAGAGCUUGUCCCUGUUUUGUGGGGCGCAAGAAAAGGCGAUCGGUAUUCCGGAUUCCCGACUCGCUGUCCAGUGCUCCCUCCCAGCCGUCAGCAAGCUGCAAGUUUCUCCUGUGUUCUCUCGGGUCGCCUGUGACGUUGCUGGGGAGCGGGUGGGGGUGGUGCAGGGAGACCUGGCCUCCGCGCUCUCUGGGGAUGUUCUGGGGUGGGAGCCAGGGGAGGUGGAGAGUGGUGCGCCCCCACCCCCCGCCGGGCUCCCAGGCCACCUGCUCACCAGCAGGGAGUUCUGGCUAUGCCCAGGCUGGGGCGGGGGUUGGGGUAGGGGUGGGGGGAUGGUGAGGGCUGGAUGCUGUUUUCUCCCGAGUUGUGUUUGGUGCUUUUUUUUUUUCCUUCCAGGAUGGGGCUGUGGGGUCGACAUGGGGAAUGAGCCGGAGCCGGGCCUGGGCUGCCGAGGCACUGGCUGGAGGCUGCCAGGUGUGAUCUGGGGGUGGGGGGGAGGGGGGUCGAGAGGGAGGCUGCACUGAGCCUGGUCUGAUGGGGGCUAGAAUAGCCUCCUGCUUCGUCCCUUUCCUCGGGGGGGGGUAGGGAGGGGGCUGCAGGCUUCAGGCUUGUGUGCUCUCUGUGGUCCGUGCGGGGCAGGUGUGCUCUUGGCCAUGACUCCAGCAGGCUUCUCUCUUCAGCAGGGCAUGCACUGCGUCCCUUCUCUGAGCUGGACUCGGGGAUCCAGCGGUGAGCACCUGAGAUGCCCCGUACUGUUCCCUGGGAUCUUCAGGUGAGAAGCCGUGGCUGCGGGGGGUCGGCGAAGGGGUGUGUGUGUGUGUGUGUGUGUGUGUGUAUGAGGAGGUGGGGUGCAGACGCCCUCAGUGGGAAAGCUGCAGAGGGAAUUCAAACCAGCCGAGGUCUCUGAAGGUCUGUGCCACCCACCGAGCCCUUGUCCCCUCCCCUGCGACACUCUGAGCUAACCCUGCCUGGGGGCAGGCUGUAGUGUGUGUGUGUGUGUUUGUGUGUGUGUAGGGGGCUUCACAGCCACACACACUUCCUCCCCGAUCCUGAGAUUUCUCCUGCAAGGUUUUAGUGCCCAAAGCUCUCGCCCCGACCCUGUGUGGGUAUUGGGGGUGCUGGGGUCUCUGAGUGUCUGAGUUAGGCUGGGAGAGGGGAGCCGCGGGAAGUUGGGGAUGGAGGCCGUGGCCUUAGUCUCCCUUGCUGCAUCUCUCCCAGGAGCCUCUGCUCCGGCCGCGUGGCCAGGACUCCAGGCCUGGUGCCAGCAGCUGUCAGUGGUUUUCUGGACCUCUGGGUGAUCCUGCCAAGACCUCAGCCUUCCCCAUGCACAGGACGGAGCCUGCUGUGGACGCGAGCCCUCCCUGGCCGACACUCCGCUGAGGACUGAACUGGAUGUCAAGGGCAGCUCAAGGGUACAGCAGGGGCCGCAGCAGCCGCCUGCCUGUCGCAUCUGCUGGGCUCCAGUGUCUGGGGCUGGGGGUCACUUCCUGACCCCGCUUGGACUCGGUUCCUCCUCGGGUCUCU
rnacentral:lncRNA from 1 species